rnacentral:sRNA from 1 species
GCGGAGGGAUCAUUAUCGAGUUACAAACUCCAAACCUUUGUGAACAUACCACAGUUGCUUCGGCGGCCUCGCCCCGGGCGCAUCGGGACCCCUCCGGGGGGACCGCGGCGACCCGGACCCAGGCGACCGCCGGGGGACCCAAACUCUUGUCUUUUAGUGUAUUAUCUGAGUGGCAUAAGCAAAUAAAUUAAAACUUUCAGCAACGGAUCUCUUGGUUCUGGCAUCGAUGAAGAACGCAGCGAAAUGCGAUAAGUAAUGUGAAUUGCAGAAUUCAGUGAAUCAUCGAAUCUUUGAACGCACAUUGCGCCCGCCAGUACUCUGGCGGGCAUGCCUGUCCGAGCGUCAUUUCAACCCUCAGCACCCCCGUUCGCGGCGGGAGCUGGCGUUGGGGAUCGGCCGUCCUCUGCGGCGGCCGGCCCCGAAACGAAGUGGCGGUCACGUCGCGACCUCCUCUGCGUAGUAGCAAUAUCUCGCAGCCUGGAUAGCGGCGCGGCCAUGCCGUAAAACCCCAACUAUACCAAGGUUGACCUCGGAUCAGGUAGGAAUACCCGCUGAACUUAAGCAUAUCAAUAAGCGGAGGAAAAGAAACCAACAGGGAUUGCCUUAGUAACGGCGAGUGAAGCGGCAACAGCUCAAAUUUGAAAUCUGGCCCCCAGGCCCGAGUUGUAAUUUGUAGAGGAUGCUUCUGGCGACGCGCCUUCCGAGUUCCCUGGAACGGGACGCCAAAGAGGGUGAGAGCCCCGUCCGGUCGUGCGCCUAGCCUCUGUGAAGCUCCUUCGACGAGUCGAGUAGUUUGGGAAUGCUGCUCUAAAUGGGAGGUAUACGUCUUCUAAAGCUAAAUACCGGCCAGAGACCGAUAGCGCACAAGUAGAGUGAUCGAAAGAUGAAAAGCACUUUGA